AUUGAACGCUGGCGGCAUGCCUUACACAUGCAAGUCGAACGGUAACAGGUCUUCGGAUGCUGACGAGUGGCGAACGGGUGAGUAAUACAUCGGAACGUGCCCGAUCGUGGGGGAUAACGGAGCGAAAGCUUUGCUAAUAACGCAUACGAUCUACGGAUGAAAGCAGGGGACCGCAAGGCCUUGCGCGGACGGAGCGGCCGAUGGCAGAUGAGGUAGUUGGUGGGAUAAAAGCUUACCAAGCCGACGAUCUGGAGCUGGUCGGAGAGGACGACCAGCCACACUGGAACUGAGACACGGCCCAGACUCCUACGGGAGGCAGCAGUGGGGAAUUUUGGACAAUGGGCGAAAGCCUGAUCCAGCCAUGCCGCGUGCAGGAUGAAGGCCUCCGGGUUGUAAACUGCUUUUGUACGGAACGAAAAGACUUUUCUAAUAAAGAGGGUCCAUGACGGUACCGUAAGAAUAAGCACCGGCUAACUACGUG
rnacentral:rRNA from 1 species